UACGUAGGGACCAAGCGUUGUUCGGAUUUACUGGGCGUAAAGGGCGCGUAGGCGGUCAGCACAAGUCAGUUGUGAAAUCUCCGGGCUUAACUCGGAAAGGUCAACUGAUACUGUGCGACUAGAGUGCAGAAGGGGCAACUGGAAUUCUCGGUGUAGCGGUGAAAUGCGUAGAUAUCGAGAGGAACACCUGCGGCGAAGGCGGGUUGCUGGGCUGACACUGACGCUGAUGCGCGAAAGCCAGGGGAGUGAACGGG
rnacentral:rRNA from 1 species